rnacentral:rRNA from 1 species
GCAGUCGAGCGACAGACAGGAGCUCUGCUCCUCCUGACGUUAGCGGCGGACGGGUGAGUAACACGUGGGUAACCUACCUAUAAGACUGGAAUAACUUCGGGAAACCGGAGCUAAUGCCGGAUAAUAUUUCGAACCGCAUGGUUCUAUAGUGAAAGAUGGUUUUCGCUAUCACUUUAUAGAUGGACCCGCGCCGUAUUAGCUAGUUGGUAAGGUAACGGCUUACCAAGGCGACGAUACGUAGCCGACCUGAGAGGGUGAUCGGCCACACUGGAACUGAGACACGGUCCAGACUCCUACGGGAGGCAGCAGUAGGGAAUCUUCCGCAAUGGGCGAAAGCCUGACGGAGCAACGCCGCGUGAGUGAUGAAGGUCUUCGGCUCGUAAAACUCUGUUAUUAGGGAAGAACAUACGUGUAAGUAACUGUGCACGUCUUGACGGUACCUAAUCAGAAAGCCACGGCUAACUACGUGCCAGCAGCCGCGGUAAUACGUAGGUGGCAAGCGUUAUCCGGAAUUAUUGGGCGUAAA